UAUAUUGCACAUUGUAAGUCGCUUUGGAUAAAAGCAUCUGCUAAAUGACUAAAU
rfam:Danio rerio chromosome 19, GRCz11 reference primary assembly.